rnacentral:pre_miRNA from 2 species
CAGGAAGAGGAGGAAGCCCUGGAGGGGCUGGAGGUGAUGGAUGUUUUCCUCCGGUUCUCAGGGCUCCACCUCUUUCGAGCC